UGGCGUAUGCCUGGUGAAAAAGCAGUGAGUAGAGGUGAGUCUGGCUGAUUGGAGCCAGUAGAGAUGGGUGCCAACACCAGCCAGGUCAGUGACCUGUCCGAGAACCCCAGCCUCAAGUCCCUGGUGGGCACUGUGUCUAUAUCAGAGAAUGAUCCUUUCUGGAACCAGCUGAUAUCCUUCACCUUCAUCAGCCCCACAAGCAGUGGAGACUCCAAGCUGCUGGAAGAGGCUGUCAUCCCCCUGGCCAAGACCCUCAUUGAAAACAAUCC